GACGAACGCUGGCGGCGUGCUUAACACAUGCAAGUCGAACGGAAAGGCCCUGCUUUUGUGGGGUGCUCGAGUGGCGAACGGGUGAGUAACACGUGAGUAACCUGCCCUUGACUUUGGGAUAACUUCAGGAAACUGGGGCUAAUACCGGAUAGGAGCUCCUGCUGCAUGGUGGGGGUUGGAAAGUUUCGGCGGUUGGGGAUGGACUCGCGGCUUAUCAGCUUGUUGGUGGGGUAGUGGCUUACCAAGGCUUUGACGGGUAGCCGGCCUGAGAGGGUGACCGGCCACAUUGGGACGGGGAUACGGCCCAGACUCCUACGGGAGGCAGCAGGGGGGAAUAUUGCACAAUGGGCGGAAGCCUGAUGCAGCAACGCCGCGUGCGGGAUGACGGCCUUCGGGUUGUAAACCGCUUUCGCCUGUGACGAAGCGUGAGUGACGGUAAUGGGUAAAGAAGCACCGGCUAACUACGUG
rnacentral:rRNA from 1 species